GAAAUUUAUGACUCUUGCUUAUUACUUUCCUUUAUUUUUCUUUUAAGAUAUAUAUAUAUUUAGAUAGAACGUGCUAAAAACAGAGCAAAUAAACCAAAAUCUAAUUUAAGAUGGAUUCCUGGCAAACAUUUUGUCUAUCUAAAACUUUGUUUUAAGCAUAAAAGUACCAUUUUAAAAACAGUGCCUUUCAUUAAGGAUGUAGAAAGUAAGACGUAAGUACAUCACCUGCUUUGCUUUUCUUUUUUUUUGCCUUUUUUUUUUUUCUUUUUUCUUUUCAACAGCAAUUACAGUCUAUGAUCCUUGUUAUGAUCCAGUCUUUCUGCUUCCCAAAUCUCCACAGGCUGCUUCUUCACCCAGGUCAUUCCACCAUCCUCAUAUUUGGGAGAUCCUGAUGUCCCCAUUAGCUGUAGGCUCAUGCUGAUCACACUGGCAAGUAUGCUGCUGCAGAUUGCUGACCCAAUUUCUGUCUUAGGCAUUGCCUUUCAUAUCUGCAUUGAGCUGUGCUCAUUUGAAAGGCUUGGGCAAGUUUUGAUAAACCAACUCUUGUUCACUGUUUCUCCUAACCGUACUCCUAACAGACUUUUUUGCAGCUAGUAAAAUGAAACCUACCCACUAGAGUGUUUUUUUCCCCUCUUUUUAUCCAGUAGCAAACCCAAAAGCAAGCAAAAUUGUAGAUGGUCCCUUUGGCUUCCAGCUUUAAAGCAUUGUCUUUAAAAAAGUCACUCUGGGAAAUGGAUUUCUCAAAUGUUAACCAAAGUGAGAAGCUGGCAGAAACUGAGAUGGUGUGAAAAUGCAUGUUCCACACGCACGCACACACUCACGCUCAUUCUCUCCAGGGCUCGAUCCUGCUUUGGGGCAGGAGAAGCAGAAAGCUUCACCCCUAUCGCGGCAACUAUAAGGAGAGGAAAACAAAGCCGUAUUGUUAACCAAAUCUUUCCUUAUCAACAGCCAUCUUGGAAUUGCUGUGCGAGGGUGCCUGUUGAAUUUAGUGAGAGCUUGGCCUGGUAGUGUUAACAGGACAUGUCUCAGCCCUUCUCCAAGUCCUUUGAUGUAAUUUCCACCAGUCCGGGAGGAGCUGAGCGGGCUGAAGCCCCUGCCAUGUCCUGUUCUUAUUGCUUUCCUUCUUCCUCCCACAUUCAGCCCAUUUUCUCCCUAGUGAGCAGGUUUGGGCAGGCUGCUGGUCCUUCACCCCUCUCAGCAGCCUUCUUGUCAAGGAGUGUCCAGGAAAGGCUGGAACACGAUCCUGAACUUGAGCAGGUUCCAAAGGUUAGGAUUGGCUUUGAGAAGAGAGACAAAAUAUGUUCUAAUGGUGUCUUCAGGAUUAAAUGUUCGCUGGUCUUUGACAUUUCAGUGGUAGAAAGCCAUUCGCUUUGCCCAACUGACUGGGCAAAGAUGGGGCCUGCUGCCACAGAAAUGCCGAAGUGGUGGGCUGGGGCUUCCUGGCCACUGGCACAGCCCUGGCCAGGAAGCCAGGAACCUGAAAUGGCAAUGUCAAAGGAUUUUAAGGAACCUGAAAUGGUUGAAGAGCCUCUGCUAUGUCAGCCUAUCACUGCAGAUGCUUUACGUUGUAUUUUUGUGUGUGGAUCCCAUUCUGUAACAGCUCAGCUCAUUUUCUUCCUUGUACCUUCAGUAAUAAUUCCUAUGGCAACAAAAGUAAAAUAAAUUGGAGGAAUAUUUCCACAAGCUGAAGGAUCAGUAUCAGUUCAAGGAGGAGUUCAUAAUGACCUUAUGUGAAACAGAAAUGGAAAUACUCUAGACUUCUGGCAUGUUUCUCUCCAAAAUAUUUAAAACGUUAGUGACAGUAUAGAAAAGUUUGCUGACUGAGCUGAUCAAUGGAAUGUGAAGGCAGUUUACUUUAAGGCUAUUUACUUUCAUGCAGAUUAUUUAUCUAUUGGUCAGUUUGUAUUCUACUCAAAUGCAGGUAGAUGGGCAAAAUGUCUGCUUGAGCAUUACAAACCUACCAAGGGGAAAAUCAACCAUCUGACUAAAAUACAUAGGCCAAACACCAUCUGGGUGUCUUUACCAGCUAUUUGAAGGCUGUGUUCUGUAAAAUGGUACAAGGUCAUUUUAGGUGUUUUUUUAUAGGAUGUUGCUCUAGGGGAUCGUCUAGUCAUAAAGAUCCAAAUUGUAUCCUGUGUCAAGAUGUUAGUAUAUUGAAAGCAAAUUUGGGGAUCUGACCAGGGUUUUCACUGUCUGCAAAUACGUACAACUUCAGGCAAAGGGCAGUUCUUAUAAUCACCCUGCUUUUUUCUCUGAAGCACUCCAUCAUCACAAAGGAGAAUGCAUUACUCAGAUCUGAAGGAUACACUUUGUCACAAAACAAGGCCGCCAAAAGUUGUAGGGCCUCCUACCCUUUCACUUACACCAAUCUGAAGGUGGUAUAACCUUGUUGACUUAAAGGAAUUGCUCCCAGUUUCUGCCCUUGUUAGAAAAGUUAUCGCUCCAAUGUAUAAUAAUCUAUGUCUGUUGGUUUUCAUCAUCAGCUCUGAAAGCUAACCUUGUCCUCACAGCACUAACUCCUUUCCAUCUUGUAUGUGUGCAUGUGUGUAUAUAAUAUUUAUAUGUGCAUACACACCAUGUCCAAACAAUAGCUUUGUCUCUUUAUUUAAAAAAAAAAAAAAAAAGUCAUUUAAUCAUCUGCAGAUUUAUAUGAAGCACAUUAGUAAACAUGGAGAUACUAGUAUUUCAGAAUUCAAAAAAAGCCCAGCUGUGCUGGUGACUAACCAAUACAUGAACUGAAGCUCACACUCUGCAAGGACCUUUGGUUGACAUUCGAUUUUGAACCUGCCAGAUGCAUUUUUGUGAACCAGGGAUACUGCAUCUUUAAUGAACAAGUUUCUACUCUUUCCCCUGUUUUUAAAUACAACACAAGCAGUGUAGCACUAGGCACUGCAAUUGUCAAAGACAAUUAGACUGAAAGCAGGAAAAUUUCACCUCCCUGUCUCAGUGAUAUGUAGAAUGUCGGCAGUAUGGGUCAGCCUUGCCACAGAGUUGUGUGAGAAUAUAUGAAUCAGUCCUAUAGAAUGUUAAAUAUUUAUAAAAUGGUUCUGUACUACACCAAGGUUGGGAGCACAUUCAUUCCUUCUUGUUGUUUUAUAAUAGAAAAAGAAGCAAAAGUUUAUUUCCAAACCUAAACUUUGUGUGGUUCUUUUUUUCUGGUGUUUUUAUUUUUUUUUCUUUUUGUUUUGUUUUUGUUCUUGUGGUUUAUAUGCAGUUGCUAGAGGCUUUUCAUUUCCUUUUUAAAAGUAUUUUCAUCAGAUGUGCGUUCAGACGUUUGUUCUUUAAAACCAUUUCUACCUCAUUGCUACAUAUUGUACAUGUAGUAUUUAUUUGUUGUCUUUUUUUGAAUGUCAUGCAUUUCGUAAGAAAAAGACUUGUCCUUGAACUUGAACAGUCUACCUCAGAAAGACUGUCUUUACACUGAACAGUAUUAACAACCUAAACGAUAAGACGCAUUAGCGAAGUGUGGCAGGGUAGAUAAUGCGCGAGUACUUGGGAUACUGAUGGACUUUUAAUUGUACUCAUAACACAAGACUGCUUAAAGGAACUUAAAGGAAAUUAUGCACUGUGUAGGUCUUCAUCAAGGUCCCAUUUUGGCAUGCUAUAUAAAAAAAAAAA
rnacentral:lncRNA from 1 species